GAUGAACGCUGGCGGCGUGCCUAAUACAUGCAAGUCGAGCGAACAGACGAGGAGCUUGCUCCUCUGACGUUAGCGGCGGACGGGUGAGUAACACGUGGAUAACCUACCUAUAAGACUGGGAUAACUUCGGGAAACCGGAGCUAAUACCGGAUAAUAUAUUGAACCGCAUGGUUCAAUAGUGAAAGGCGGUUUUGCUGUCACUUAUAGAUGGAUCCGCGCCGCAUUGCUAGUUGGUAAGGUAACGGCUUGCCAAGGCAACGAUGCGUAGCCGACCUGAGAGGGUGAUCGGCCACACUGGAACUGAGACACGGUCCAGACUCCUACGGGAGGCAGCAGUAGGGAAUCUUCCGCAAUGGGCGAAAGCCUGACGGAGCAACGCCGCGUGAGUGAUGAAGGUCUUCGGAUCGUAAAACUCUGUUAUUAGGGAAGAACAAAUGUGUAAGUAACUAUGCACGUCUUGACGGUACCUAAUCAGAAAGCCACGGCUAACUACGUG
rnacentral:rRNA from 1 species